GUGCCAGCAGCCGCGGUAAUACGUAGGGUCCGAGCGUUGUCCGGAAUUAUUGGGCGUAAAGGGCUCGUAGGCGGUUUGUCGCGUCGGGAGUGAAAACUCAGGGCUCAACCCCUGAGCGUGCUUCCGAUACGGGCAGACUAGAGGUAUGCAGGGGAGAACGGAAUUCCUGGUGUAGCGGUGGAAUGCGCAGAUAUCAGGAGGAACACCGGUGGCGAAGGCGGUUCUCUGGGCAUUACCUGACGCUGAGGAGCGAAAGCAUGGGGAGCGAACAGGAUUAGAUACCCUGGUAGUCCAUGCCGUAAACGUUGGGCGGUAGGUGUGGGGACCUUCCACGGUCUCCGUGCCGCAGAUAACGCAUUAAGCGCCCCGCCUGGGGAGUACGGCCGCAAGGCUAAAACUCAAAGGAAUUGACGG
rnacentral:rRNA from 1 species